rnacentral:rRNA from 1 species
UCGCGGUUAGACGAAGAAUUUUAGUAGAGUAAAAGUUUUGUUUAGUUAACAUUCGAUCUCGUAAAAGAUGGUGAAAUUUUGUUGAUAAGGUGAAAUUUUUAAUUUAAGGGAAAUUCUUAAGAAAUUUGUUGAGACUAAAAAAUUUAGGUAAAAAACCAGGAUUAGAUACCCUGUUAUUCUAAAUAAUAGUGUAAAUAGGGUAGUAAAAGUUGUUCUUCAAACCCAAAGAUUUUGGCGGCAUCUUAUCCUAAUAGAGGAGCUUGUCCUAUAAUUGAUAGUCCCCAUUUUAUCUUACCCUUUUUUGUUAAGCUUGUAUACCGUCGUUGUCAGAUUACUUUAAAAGAACGUUUUCAGGAAAAAUAUUUUUCUUACUUCAGGUCAAGGUGCAGUUUAUAAAAGGGCAGUGAUGAGCUACAAUUUUUAAUAGCAAAUACGGAUUUUAGGCUUAAAACUCAGGUGAAGGUGGAUUUAUUAGUAAAUUUACUUAAGUACAGUAAGUUGAAUAAGGCAAUAGGAUGUGCACAUAUCGCCCGUCACUCUCUUCUCAAGAGGAGAUAAGUCGUAACAAACUAG